GGAGGGAUGGCAGAGCGGUCGAUUGCGGCGGUCUUGAAAACCGUUGAUCUCACGAUCCGGGGGUUCGAAUCCCUCUCCCUCCG
rnacentral:tRNA from 1 species